CCUACGGGUGGCUGCAGUAGGGAAUAUUGCUCAAUGGGCGAAACCCUGAACCAGCAACGCCGCGUGGAGGAUGAAUGUUCUAGGAUUGUUAACCCCUUUUGUUAGAGAAGAUAAUGACGGUAUCUAACGAAUAAGCACCGUCUAACUCCGUGCCAGCAGCCGCGGUAAUAUGGAGGGUGCAAGCGUUACUCGGAAUUACUGGGCGUAAACAGCGCGUAGGCGGGAUAGCAAGUCAGAUGUGAAAUCCUAUGGCUUAACCAUAAAACUGCAUUUGAAACUGUUAUGCUAGAGUAUGGGAGAGGUAGGUGGAAUUCGUGGGGUAGGGGUAAAAUGCGUAGAGAUCAAGAAGAAUACUGAUUGCGAAGGCGACCUGCUAGAACAAAACUGACGCUGAUGCGCGAAAGCGUGGGUAGCAAACAGGAUUAGAUACCCGGGUAGUC
rnacentral:rRNA from 1 species